GCGGGUAUAGUUCAGUGGUAGAGCCUCAGCCUUCCAAGCUGAUGAUGCGGGUUCGAUUCCCGCUACCCGCU
rnacentral:tRNA from 2 species